UAUUCGUUGGUGUAAAGUGCACAAAAAGUUUUGAUCUUUUAGGGAAUGGUGUGAUUCCAUUACGUGUAA
rnacentral:tRNA from 1 species